UAUUAAAUUAUUAUUUUGGCAGAUUAGUGUAAUGAAUUUAGAAUUCAUAUAAGUAAAUAUUUUACAAAUAAUAC
rnacentral:tRNA from 6 species